rnacentral:rRNA from 1 species
AUUGAACGCUGGCGGCAUGCCUUACACAUGCAAGUCGAACGGCAGCACGGGUGCUUGCCCCUGGUGGCGAGUGGCGAACGGGUGGGUAAUACAUCGGAACAUGUCCUGUAGUGGGGGAUAGCCCGGCGAAAGCCGGAUUAAUACCGCCUACGAUCUACGGAUGAAAGCGGGUGACCUUCGGGCCUCGCGCUAUAGGGUUGGCCGAUGGCGGAUUAGCUAGUUGGUGGGGUAAAGGCCUACCAAGGCGACGAUCAGUAGCUGGUCUGAGAGUACGACCAGCCACACUGGGACUGAGACACGGCCCAGACUCCUACGGGAGGCAGCAGUGGGGAAUGUGGGACAAUGGGCGAAAGCCUGAUCCAGCAAUGCCGCGGGUGUGAAGAAGGCCUUCGGGUUGUAAAGCACUUUUGUCCGGAAAGAAAUCCUUGGCCCUAAUACGGUCGGGGGAUGACGGUACCGGAAGAAUAAGCACCGGCUAACUACGUG